CACACAAGAAGAGUACAUUUUUUCAUGAUCUUACCCAUUGACUAAAAAGGGGAAAUCACGGGUGGAUUUGGCGUGAGAAUCUACACAAACACCUUUCCCAGCACCUGUAAAGAUCACUUAGGGUUAUGCAGCUCCGACCUGAUCACCAGGGUUACAACACCCACAGGGAGAAUGCAGUGAGAUACAAGACACAUCAGCAAUGGCAGUGGGCGGGGUUCUUGACCUCAAGGACUCCUGGAUCAAUGACAGUCAUAAUAGCCAGUCCACAUGGGUAUCAGGGCUUCAAUACUCCAGUUAGAUUUUGUUCUACCCCGUUCACAUGAUAGAGACUAACAAGCCAAAAAGAAAGAAAAAAAAGGUUGCCUUUCUGGCUUGAAUGGCAUCAAUCACUUACCAGCUCUGCUAUUUGGCUCAGUGGUGCCUAAGGAAUCGUUACAGCCGAGACUGCUUCGUGAAGGCAAGGGUGCAGCUUCAAGGACCUCCUGGCACUCUUGGUAUAUACGCACCCAACUGUCAGCCUCCGUAGGACCACAGGAACCAUGGGCCAAAUUCAGACCCAACGGCCCACCCAUACAACAGAUGUCCUGCCUUCCAAUUUGACACUCCAGCUGGGACAGAACUUUGGAAUGGUGGGUAGGGCCACAGGAGACUGCUAUAGGGGUUUCAACACCGACGAAACAUAAAACGGAGCCUGGGUCGGGAUUCCUGCUUUCCCACAGUAGUUCUGUUGCUUGUCAAGGCUCUGAAUCGCGAACUACAUAUGUUCCAGGCUUGAGGCUAUAUUCAUAACGGGGCCAGUCUGUCUUACUCCACCAUGCCGCUACAGUCAGCCAAACAGUGUUCAAAUACACACACAGACACACACACACACUCACACACACACACACACACAGAGA